AAUAUACUCCCUCCGUUUGGAAUUACUUGUCACCAAAAUGGAUGUAUCUAGAAUUAAAAUACAUCUAGAUACAUCCAUUUCAAUGACGAGUAUUUCCGAACAGAGGGAGUACUAU
rnacentral:pre_miRNA from 1 species